AUUCCCCUGCCGUGUUCGUGAUGUUGUAAAACUCUUGAGCCUACCAACUUACACGAGGGAGUCUGAGACUGAAUGAAGAUGUACAUGCCCUGAAGUUUUUUAGGGACGUACUGAAUGUUCGCGAGGACACCCACCUGGCCUAGCCAGGUUCAAAGAGUUUGCUUCACACGGCACAGUGGUGGGGGAUGU
rnacentral:other from 1 species